GGAGGUUAGCGUAAGUGAAGCUCGAUUUAUUCAUUCAUCUUUUGUGAAGAAUUUUGGGCAAAUUUUGGUAACAAGAAGCCAGCUUUUGUUUUAAAAUGUCGUGCAGGAGGAAGAAGAAGAUGACGACUGAGUAAAUUUUGAAUUCGAUGAUGAAGAUGUUUGGUUACAGUCGUAAUAUGUUAUAUAUCUACUGUAUAUGAAAUUCUUCUUCUCCACAACAUGAAUAGGGCCAAUCUUUUAGUGUUAUCCACUGAUGCAGAGUUUCGAAUUUUUUUUUGAAUUGCUGUGGAAGCCAUUUUCAAGCAUUAUAAUUGAUACUUUUUGGAGCCAUUUAUGAUCUGCCUUUAUUUUCUCCACUCCCUUUCUGAUCUACCUAUGUUACACAACACAUGGCCUUUUAUAAAUGAAAGGCCCUUUAUAAGUUUUGUAUUUAUUAAUUCAUAUUUUAUAAAGUAUAUGCUUCAUUAUAUACUAAUGUUGUGACACACUUUGAUUGCUUAACAAUUUUACAGGACUGUGAGAUCACAUGGUGAUUCAAUUUCAGAAGCCAAAACAACAAAUUUCAGAAGCCAAAACAGCAGAUGAAAAAGUUCAGUCCCCAUCCUCAAAGUAAGCAAAUCAUUAUCUUAGAUUUUAAGAUGAGGAUGUGAUGCGCUGCAUAUACUGGGAAUGUUAAUAGUGGGUGAUUUUUAUUGGUUAAUUACCAAACUGUAGAAGAGGUUAUAUGAUUUGGAUUUUGAGGUGAUGUUAUAUUGUUUAAUUUUUCGGAACAAAUAUGUGAGUUUUAUUUCUAUUUACAUUCUUGAGAAAUCUGUUUUCAAAUUUUGCAUAUUAUGUGUUUGACAAAAUGCUUGAUAGAACCCUGCGAAUUUUUCUUUACAUUCUUGAGAUUGUCUCUUGCUGAUUCUUUUCUUCUUUUUUUGUUGCAGGGAUUAAAGUAGAAUCUAUAACUAUAUUACUCCAUGUAAUAUGAUUGCAAAUAAUAAACGUUAAACAUAAUUUUUUUAUUCAUGUUAUUAUUUAUUUAUACAAUGAUGUCUACAAUUUCAGAACCCCAUAUAAAGACGUCAAGUUGUAACCUUCUGUUUUAUACCCUUUUUCUCCAUCGGUUCCCAUAUUUUUCUUCCCUCUAUUUUGUAUGCUUACUGUGAAAAAGGGACUUUUGUGAUGUUAUCUAUUUGGCAACUUAUGUUCUGGGGUUAAUGUGGGUUAAUGUAGUUUUGGAUAUUUGUACAUGCGGUGAGUCAAGUAAUUUAUUUCGGAUCCGAGGUUGUGAACCUCGAUGCUUAAUAUCUCAGUGAUCUCACCAAUACGACAAUGAACUAACGAACAUAUAUUGCAAAUAAUAAUCGUUAAACAUAAGAG
rnacentral:lncRNA from 1 species